ACUGAGAAUCAAUGAGCUGCUCAUUCGGCUUCGGAAAGACUGUUGAACAUCCACGACACACCUGAUGCUCGUUUGACAAGAGAGAGCGUCUGUGAUGGGCGGGAAGGACCCACUCAGACCAGUCCGGGAACUGCAUAUGUAAAAUCACGUGGGAGCAACGAGGACAAGACGGGCUACCCCUGGAAAUGAAGGGAGGCGUUCUCGACAAGGCGCGAGGACACGUCACAGGGCUGCAGGAGCUAGUCCCGCAUGGCUCCGGCCCAAGAAAGUGCCUGGUGAGGUGGGGGGAAGGGUUAACCCUGUGAAAUGUGGCAUCCAUGCCUGAGGGCUUCCUGGAGGAGGUGGCUCUGAGCCCUUCCUGCCACUCCCCCCACCCUGCCAUUUGCU